UGGGGAAUAUUGGACAAUGGGCGAAAGCCUGAUCCAGCCAUGCCGCGUGUGUGAAGAAGGUCUUCGGAUUGUAAAGCACUUUAAGUUGGGAGGAAGGGUUGUAGAUUAAUACUCUGCAAUUUUGACGUUACCGUCAGAAUAAGCACCGGCUAACUCUGUGCCAGCAGCCGCGGUAAUACAGAGGGUGCAAGCGUUAAUCGGAAUUACUGGGCGUAAAGCGCGCGUAGGUGGUUAGUUAAGUUGGAUGUGAAAUCCCCGGGCUCAACCUGGGAACUGCAUUCAAAACUGACUGACUAGAGUAUGGUAGAGGGUGGUGGAAUUUCCUGUGUAGCGGUGAAAUGCGUAGAUAUAGGAAGGAACACCAGUGGCGAAGGCGACCACCUGGACUGAUACUGACACUGAGGUGCGAAAGCGUGGGGAGCAAACA
rnacentral:rRNA from 1 species